UACGUAGGCAGCGAGCGUUGUUCGGAGUUACUGGGCGUAAAGGGUGCGUAGGCGGCUUUGUAAGUCAGUGGUGAAAUAUGGCAGCUUAACUGUCAAGGUGCCAUUGAUACUGCGGAGCUUGAGUACAGAUGAGGUAGGCGGAAUUGACGGUGUAGCGGUGAAAUGCUUAGAUAUCGUCAAGAACACCUAUAGCGAAGGCAGCUUACUAGGCUGUAACUGACGCUGAGGCACGAAAGUGUGGGGAUCAAACAGG
rnacentral:rRNA from 1 species